rnacentral:rRNA from 1 species
CAGUAGCCACGGUAAUGCGUUGGCCCCGAGCGUUGUCCGGAUUUAUUGGGCGUAAAGCGAGCGCAGGCGGUUAGAUAAGUCUGAAGUUAAAGGCUGUGGCUUAACCAUAGUACACUUUGGAAACUGUUUAACUUGAGUGCAAGAGGGGAGAGUGGAAUUCCAUGUGUAGCGGUGAAAUGCGUAGAUAUAUGGAGGAACACCGGUGGCGAAAGCGGCUCUCUGGCUUGUAACUGACGCUGAGGCUCGAAAGCGUGGGGCGCAAACAGGAUUAGAUACCCCGGUAGUCCCUGUCUCUUAUACA